UCAGGAUGAACGCUAGCUACAGGCUUAACACAUGCAAGUCGAGGGGCAGCAUUGGGAUAGCUUGCUAUUCAGAUGGCGACCGGCGCACGGGUGAGUAACGCGUAUCCAACCUUCCUGCCAGUAGGGAACAGCCCGGCGAAAGUCGGAUUAAUGCCCUAUGUUCUUCAAUGCGGACAUCUAAGUUGAAGGAAAGAUUCAUCGCUGGCAGAUGGGGAUGCGUCCGAUUAGCUUGCCGGCGGGGUAACGGCCCACCGGGGCGACGAUCGGUAGGGGUUCUGAGAGGAAGGUCCCCCACACUGGUACUGAGACACGGACCAGACUCCUACGGGAGGCAGCAGUGAGGAAUAUUGGUCAAUGGGCGUAAGCCUGAACCAGCCAAGUAGCGUGCAAGGAUGACGGCCCUACGGGUUGUAAACUGCUUUUAUGCGGGGAUAAAGUGCGGCACGUGUGCCGCUUUGCAGGUACCGCAUGAAUAAGGACCGGCUAAUUCCGUGCCAGCAGCCGC
rnacentral:rRNA from 1 species